rnacentral:misc_RNA from 1 species
GAUGAAGAACGUAGCGAAAUGCGAUAAGUAAUGUGAAUUGCAGAAUUCAGUGAAUCAUCGAAUCUUUGAACGCACAUUGCGCCCGCCAGUAUUCUGGUGGGCAUGCCUGUUCGAGCGUCAUUUCAACCAUCAAGCCCCAGGCUUGUGUUGGGGACCUGCGGCUGCCGCAGGCCCUGAAAACCAGUGGCGGGCUCGCUGUCACACCGGGCGUAGUAGAUUUUAUCUCGCUCAGGGCGUGCUGCGGGUUCCGGCCGUUAAAAAGCCUUUUUUACCCAAGGUUGACCUCGGAUCAGGUAGGAAGACCCGCUGAACUUAAGCAUAUCAAUAAGCGGAGGA